CAAACAGACCGAAGCCACAUCCAAUAUGACACAUGUCAUCUAGGAGUUCUAUUGGGGUGCGUCCAAAUAGAUUUCUUAGCAUAUGGUAUGUUCCAUGCAAACCGUGCACCUAUCUUGCAUCAAGAUUAGCACUAUCUACAAAAAGAUCGAACCGACCUUCCACUUGAGCCUCUUCACUUAGGAUUAUCAUCGGGUGCUUCCAUAAUGGUUUCUGAGCCUAUGGUGCAUUAUGCGCAAACCAUGCACCAAUCUUGCACCUAAACUAACACUGUC
rnacentral:lncRNA from 1 species